rnacentral:lncRNA from 1 species
AAAAAGGGUGAGACCAUCGUGCUGUGUAAACCAGCUUUGUAUAUUUCUGCAAUAGCCAGAUUGUAGUUUGGACAAAUUUGUAGUUCCUGGGACAAUGACAGAGGGCAAAGACUAGAUGGAAACUGGGGAAGGUAGGUUGACUCAUGGAAGUGACUUGCAGCCUGUGUGCUGCACCUUUAAUAGUUACAAAGGGCAAGGAUGUCUGUUAGAAGGCUUUCCUAUUGGCUUUCCUCGAGGACCCCGGAUCACCGCAGGCAUCUUUACGUGUGUAUCUUAAAAUGGAUUCCACCUGACAUCUAGCCCAUACAACCUUCCCUGGAGCACAAGUGUCUGUCACAACACUUUGAGUUUGCUCACUUAUUUGAAAUAACUUAAAUUUUUAAAAAAAAUUUAUUUCAUUUAUAUGACUACACUGUAGCUGUUUUUCAAGCACAUCAGAAGAGGGCAUCGGAUCCCAUUACAGAUGGUUGUGAGCCAACCAUGUGGUUGCUGGGAAUUGAACUCAGGACCUCUGGAAGAACAGUCAGUGCUCUUAACUGCUGAGCCAUCUCGUCAGCCCUGAAGUACUUUUCUUAAGCCUUCAUGAACUCUGGAUCUGGUCUCAAAGCAUGAAGUCUACUUUGCAAGGUGUUUGGAAUUCACACAAUUUUCAAGAAAAAAAGGCAAAGCAUGGAUAAUUAAAUGUUCCAGGCUAUGGCUCUUCAUUUCAGGUUUGAACAUCCUUUUGUCAAACAAACAAACAAACAAACAAACAAACAAACCAAAAAAACAAAAACCAAACACCCAUAGAUGGUCAUUUGGCUUUUAAGUACCACAGGAUGCUCACCAUAAUAGCAUUACAUGAAGAUGCAAAGGCCAAGUUGUGUCAACGUGGAGUGAUUAAAAUAGAAUGUUCCAGUUUGAAACUUCAGGGCCUUUUCUCUUGCGUCAUGUUGGUUCUCACCAGUGAAAUGUUUGCACUAGCAACAAACUGAAAAUGGUAGUGUAACUUAGUUGAUCAAAUAGAGAUUGCUGUAGGCACUGUUCUCACCCCAGAACUUCAAAAUCGGAAUCUCAUGCCCUCUGAGUAAUCUUGGAUUUUUCAGAAUAACAGCAAAAGGAUUCUCCCCCUAUAACUUCACAUUUUUUUCUGUGAUAUCUUGGAGGACUAAAGGCUCCCAGUUUGAAUAAACCAUUGGAAC